UACGGAGGGUGCAAGCGUUGCUCGGAAUUAUUGGGCGUAAAGGGUAGGUAGGUGGUCUUAUUUGUCUGGGGUGAAAGCCUUGAGCUUAACUCAAGAAGUGCCCCAGAAACGGUGAGACUAGAGUCCUGGAGAGGGUCGUGGAAUUCCCGGUGUAGCGGUGAAAUGCGUAGAGAUCGGGAGGAACACCAGAGGCGAAAGCGGCGACCUGGACAGGUACUGACACUCAACUACGAAAGCGUGGGGAGCAAACAGG
rnacentral:rRNA from 1 species